rnacentral:rRNA from 1 species
GCAACGCGAAGAACUUACCUGGUCUUGACAUCCCGGAGACCCUUAGGAAACUAGGGGGUGCUUCCAUCUGGAAGAAUCUGGAGACAGGUGCUGCAUGGCUGUCGUCAGCUCGUGUCGUGAGAUGUUGGGUUAAGUCCCGCAACGAGCGCAACCCUUGCCUUUAGUUGCCAGCAGUUCGGCUGGGCACUCUAAAGGGACUGCCGGUGUUAAACCGGAGGAAGGUGGGGAUGACGUCAAGUCCUCAUGGCCUUUAUGACCAGGGCUACACACGUACUACAAUGGCCGAUACAAAGGGCAGCGACACUGCGAGGUGAAGCCAAUCCCGUAAAAUCGGUCUCAGUCCGGAUUGGAGUCUGCAACUCGACUCCAUGAAGUUGGAAUCGCUAGUAAUCGUGGAUCAGCAUGCCACGGUGAAUACGUUCCCGGGCCUU